AUACUCUAGCCAAUUACCAUACAGACCAAACCAAGCUGGAUUGAAUCGUCUCAUUUUACCACCUAUGAGUCUCUUUUCAAAGUUAUGACCAAGUGGUUGACACGGGCCUCUAAGAAGGUACUUGCGUCUUACCUCAUCGACUUGAUUUGCAUUAUAAUCCUUGAUAUUUUUUCUUUUAGCAGGAUCCCACGGCAAAUCAUCAGUAUCAUUAGAUGGUAAGGUGUUAUCAGAUGGUGAAACUGAUGCUGGUUUGUAGUACCGUUCCAUUGAUUAAUCUACAAAACCAAAAACAUAACAUAAAUA
rnacentral:lncRNA from 1 species